AAGAAUGAUAUUUCAUUAAAAUUCAUUUGCCGCAAUAUGAUAAAUGUCAGUUAAGGCCGCGGCAAAUCAAAAUCAAAGCAAAUCACUCGCAAGGACGUAGCAAAAAUUUUAAUAAUGAACGAAAAAUAAGUGAAAGCAAACGCCCAGAACUCAAAUGCAGUCGACGGCGGCGCAGAAGGAGGAGGAGCUGGAGCUGGCACAGGGGUCGUCAGGACACGUGGCAAAGUCAUCGUCAACGGCGGCACACUUCAUAAAUUUUGGCAGCAAGCAGUUACAGUUAUGAUUGCCAAAGUCAACGACAACGACAACAACCAGCCGCAGUAGCAGCAGCAGCAGCAGCAACAGAAGCAGGCGGAUGUCCGCCCAGGACAUGCCCCCCUCACCCCGCCCCCACGACGCACAGGAAGCAAAGCCUUGGCAGGCAACCGCAGCCGCAACAGCAGCAUCAGCCCAAAAGUAAAUACGGAAGAAUUUUUGCACCGGGGCCAAAAACUCUAAAAGCCUCAAGCAAACAAACACAGCCAAUGCCAGUCGCCACCCAUCGGCUGGCAGAGCUCCUGUGCGGGGUUACAUUGUUGCCUCGGCGAGGAUUGGUGCGCAUGCCGCAAUCAAAUCAUCUGCCAAGUUUAUGAUUUAUUUAACUUUUUUAAUUGACUUUUUCCGAGCAGGAACAACAACCCCCAACAAUAGGGCUGCGUGUGAAAGGAUAAUGCUGGGUCUUCAGGCUCGCAGACUUCACUUGCAGUCGCUCUUCCUUGCUAGGAAGUGCGUCAUAUAUGUAUGCGGAUAUCGAGAGAGCAGAAGAGAAGGGGAAUGGAGAGCUCGCUAUUGCUGUUUAUUGAUCUAGUCCUUUGCUAAGUAACUCACAGCGAAGGUUGCUUUAUAAACUUGAGAGAAGUCCUUGUAGAGAAGUCAUUGGGAAGGAGACCGGAGACCGAAUGGAAACUCUAUAAAUUGAAUGUUAUACACGAUUAACUAAUCUGCAACUCAGUACAGCUAAUACUUCGAUCUCUUCUUGCUGAUGAGUAAUUCCUGAGCAUAUCUUUGCCAAGGAUCGUAUGCUGCUCAGCAGGAUGGAAUGCUUAAGCGUUGACCGUGAAGCUGGUUACUAAUUUGACAGCCAACUAGCGCCAGCUUCCAUUGCAACGCUUUACUAUACCCAAAAAAAAGAGAAGAGAAGAGGUAGAAGCAGAGAACUCUCAAGAGAGGACUACAAGUUCAAAUCGAAAACUCACUUGUCAGUCGCCGUGCCAGCCAAAGGGAACUUUCAAUUUCAAUUUCAAGCGGAGGACAAGCUCAGACUAAAAAUAUAAUUUAUGAGGCCAGGGCAUUUGAUGUAUACAUUUUAAGCUUUGUUGAGACACAAAAAUGAUUUUGAUGGACAUUUAACAAAACGACACCAGAUUCAAUCCGCGCUGAAGGAGCUGCAGCCUAACGUGGAACCCAAGAUCUGUUCCUUCAGCCAGCAGCAACUGCAACCACAGCAACCACAGCAACCA